GAACUUUCAGCCCCACCCCAACCCUCCAGGGAGGGGAGAGGGGGUGGAGGUGAGUUAAUGCUUACGUGAUGAGCCUCUGUAAAAAUCCCUCAGCUACAGGGUUUGCAGAGUUUCCAGGUUGGUGGAGUUUCCAUGUGCUAGGAGGAUACUGUAUCCCGACUCCAUGGGGGCAGAAGGUCCUACAGUCAGGACCGUCCUGGACUUCGCCCUUUGUACCUCUUCAUCUAGCUGCUUGUCCGUACCCUUUAUUAUAUCCUUUAUAACAUUUCCCUGAGUUCUGUGAGCAGUUCCAACAAAUUCUCAAACCUGAGGAGGGGAUUGUGGGAUUCCCCCAAUUUAGAGCUGAUUGGUCAGAAAUAUGGGUGACAACCUAGGACUUGGGAUUGGUGUCUGAAGUGGGGUCAGUCUUGUGGGAGUGAGCCUUCAACCUGUGGAGUCUGUGUUAACUCCAGGUAGUCAGUGUCAGGACUGAGUUCACUGAGAGGAGACCCAAUGGGUGUCCACGGAGAAGUGGAGAAUUGUUUGGUAUGGGGACCCCAUUGGGGUCAGAAGUAUUCAAGUCUUUCUUUUGGUCACAUCUGAGGUUCUGGGGAGACGUGAAUUUUGGGGAGACUCUGCAUCCCACUAUGGAGCCUACGUGGAUAUGCUGCAGCUCUUGUGCUCACUUUCCAUUGGCCAGAAAUUAGUCCCAUGGCUGUACCUAAUUAUGAGAGACACUGGACACUGUCAUCGAGCUGUGGCCAGGAUGACUAGGAAACUGGUUUGGGGACCAGCUACCAGUUUCUGCCACAUGGGGGAGGGUUCUUGUCCAGGACCCAAAAGCUCAGGCCUCCGGGGGAGGAAGGACUCCCCCUGAAGCAGAACCAGUAAUAUACUGACAAGAUCUCUUAUCUAGUCCCCUUGUCUGUGGCAGACUGGCUGAUCUGCCUCAGACAUUUUCUCUUUGAUUCGCAAGUUUCCAGGUCUGUUGCAGGUGCUUGCAGAGCUAACGAGCUGGUUGCACCACUUGUGCUGCAGGUGAAAUCCUUCAAGGCCCUAGUGUUCCAGAACACCUGGGUCCAUUGCAAAUUCUUCCCCACCCUCCAAGGCAAUCUGGCCCUCCUCUUGUUUGUAACUCUUGUCAGGGGAGAAUACAUCUUCCUCAUUGCAGGUGCUUCCUUCGCGGGACAGUGUUUCCUCGGACCGUGCGCUCCUGGUAACCCCCGUCUACCACUUGCUCCCUGGAAGGAGACGAGACCCAUCAGAACAAUCCGUCGACAUCAAAGACGCAGAGUUUCUAUUGGUACGAAGGACAGAGUCGUCGUCCUGGUCCCGGCAUCCCUCAGGACGCAGUGCCUUCUUGGAGCCCUGGGGUCCGACUGUCAAUAA
rnacentral:lncRNA from 1 species